rnacentral:rRNA from 1 species
CAGCAGCCGCGGGAAUACGAAGGGGGCUAGCGUUGCUCGGAAUCACUGGGCGUAAAGGGUGCGUAGGCGGGUCUUUAAGUCAGGGGUGAAAUCCUGGAGCUCAACUCCAGAACUGCCUUUGAUACUGAAGAUCUUGAGUUCGGGAGAGGUGAGUGGAACUGCGAGUGUAGAGGUGAAUUUCGUAGAUAUUCGCAAGAACACCAGUGGCGAAGGCGGCUCACUGGCCCGAUACUGACGCUGAGGCACGAAAGCGUGGGGAGCGAACAGGAUUAGAUACCCCCGUAGUCCCUGUCUCUUAUAA